GGGCGGUUAGCUCAGGGGUAGAGCGCCAUCCUCACACGGUGGAUGUCGGAGGUUCAAAUCCUCCACCGCCCA
rfam:Caldimicrobium thiodismutans DNA, complete genome.